UAUUAUUGCUAGUGGGCUGGGUCGUUACAUUUGGUAUCAGAGCUGGUUCACCAGCCGGAAAUGUGUGGCGAGUCUCGGCUGAGCCAGGGUCUGAAAGACAAGGUGGCUGACUAUGCCAGGGUCUGGAUGACAAAGGCUAGCGAGACGAGUCUCACAUCGCCUGGUGAUCUUGGGCUGUGUGUGUGAUUGGACUGACGAGGACGUCAGGGCCUUAACGGGGGGAGUCUGUGACACUCCAAUAGUCCCACAUCGGAUGGGAAUGGGGUUGUCAUUGGAUUUAUAAGAGACUUAGACACUAGUAAUAAUAACUGGGCUUAAGCAUUUUGGGCUGGUUAUUGGGCCCAACGAGUUAUUGUUGCUAGUGGGCUGGGUCGUUACACAUUCACUAAUUUAUACUGCUAAUUUAAUCUAUUUUACAAUAUUAAUAGUAAAUUGCUGCUAAAUUAUUUAAUUUAACGGUACUUAUCAAGUAAUGCUGUUAAAUAUAUUAAUUAUCGUUAUUUAAAUAAAUACUGCGAAGUAAAUGCCGCUAAAUCAUGAAUUUGUAGUAUAUGACCGUCUUUUCUUAUAGUCUUCCUCACUUUCUUUCAGAGAGCCCUAAAUUUCUAAUAUCUUUCUCUCUCUUUUUUUUCUCUAUCUCUCAUUCCAUGUGGCCAAACUUGAAGUCCCCAAGUUACCAAAUAACAGUACGCGCCCGCCAUUGCUUAUCUUGCCAUUAGUUGUGUGCUUGAAAAAAUAUACACAAUUUUUAAGAUAAAAAUUUAUUGUUUAUACAAAAUUCUGAUUUUAGUUAUAUAUGAUUAGAUAGUUUAAUCCAAUAUUUGCCUAUAUAAUUUAUUCGUAUUUUGACCGUAUAGAUGAAAAAGAAUAAUAUGGGGAUUGAAGACAUAAGAAAAGACAUGUGAGGCUGAAAAGAUUAGAUAUUCAACUUAUAAGUUAUUUUUCUUCAUAUUAUGGUACUGUAUUCCAUAUAAUAUUUUGUAUUUUGAAGUAUUAGAUAUAUUUUUGUAUUAAAUUAUUGAUAAUGUCUAUACAAAUUAAACUAUUGAUUAUACGAUGUUAAGAAUUUGGGAUAACUUCAAAAACCCUCCCUGUGGUUUCCAACUUUCUCACUUUAGUACCCUGUGGUUUAAAGUGUAUCAAUUUGCCCCCCUGUGGUUUCGUUUUUCUCUUUUUUUUUAUCAAUUUUAUUAUUUUUUUUUCUCAAAUCAGUAACAAAAUUAAAAUUAAAGGGUACUAAAGUAAAUAUUCGGUAAAUCUAGAUGGAUAUCUGAUUUUUUUUGCAUAUAAUUUAACGAAAUAUUAAGAAAAAAACUAUAAAAAAAAUAAAAAUAAAACCACAGGGGAGCAAAUUGAUACACUUUAAACCACAGGGUACUAAAGUGAGAAAGUUGGAAACCACGGGGGGGUUUUUGAAGUUUUUCCUAAGAAUUUUAAGCAGUUCAUUGUGGGCGCGAGCUCGCUCGACUCGAAAUAACGCUCGCUCGAGUUCGGCUCGAAUUAAUUUCAAGUCGAGCUUGAGCCUAAAUUUAGGCUAAAAAAUAAUUC
rnacentral:lncRNA from 1 species